rnacentral:rRNA from 1 species
UACAGAGACUGCAAGCGUUAUUCGGAUUCACUGGGCGUAAAGGGUGCGCAGGCGGCCAAGUGUGUUAGGCGUGAAAGCCCGGGGCUUAACCCCGGAAUUGCACCUAAAACUACAUGGCUAGAGCAUUGGAGAGGGUAGCAGAAUUCACGGUGUAGCAGUGAAAUGCGUAGAUAUCGUGAGGAAUACCAGAGGCGAAGGCGGCUACCUGGACAAUUGCUGACGCUCAGGCACGAAAGCGUGGGGGAGCAAAAAGGG